GACGAACGCUGGCGGCGUGCUUAACACAUGCAAGUCGAACGGAAAGGCCCUGCGUUUGUGGGGUGCUCGAGUGGCGAACGGGUGAGUAACACGUGAGUAACCUGCCCUUGACCUUGGGAUAACUUCAGGAAACUGGGGCUAAUACCGGAUAGGAGCUCCUGCUGCAUGGUGGGGGUUGGAAAGUUUCGGCGGUUGGGGAUGGACUCGCGGCUUAUCAGCUUGUUGGUGGGGUAGUGGCUUACCAAGGCUUUGACGGGUAGCCGGCCUGGGAGGGUGACCGGCCACAUGGGGACUGCGAUACGGCCCAGACUCCAACGGGGGGCAGCAGUCGGGAAUAUUGCACAAUGGGCGGAAGCCUGAUGCAGCAACGCCGCGUGCGGGAUGACGGCCUUCGGGUUGUAAACCGCUUUCGCCUGUGACGAAGCGUGAGUGACGGUAAUGGGUAAAGAAGCACCGGCUAACUACGUG
rnacentral:rRNA from 1 species